rnacentral:rRNA from 1 species
GUGCUUAACACAUGCAAGUCGAACGGAAAGGCCCUUCGGGGUACUCGAGUGGCGAACGGGUGAGUAACACGUGGGUGAUCUGCCCUGCACUCUGGGAUAAGCCUGGGAAACUGGGUCUAAUACCGGAUAGGACCACACACUUCAUGGUGAGUGGUGCAAAGCUUUUGCGGUGUGGGAUGAGCCCGCGGCCUAUCAGCUUGUUGGUGGGGUAAUGGCCCACCAAGGCGACGACGGGUAGCCGGCCUGAGAGGGUGACCGGCCACACUGGGACUGAGAUACGGCCCAGACUCCUACGGGAGGCAGCAGUGGGGAAUAUUGCACAAUGGGCGCAAGCCUGAUGCAGCGACGCCGCGUGAGGGAUGACGGCCUUCGGGUUGUAAACCUCUUUCAGUAGGGACGAAGCGAAAGUGACGGUACCUACAGAAGAAGGACCGGCCAACUACGUGCCAGCAGCCGCGGUAAUACGUAGGGUCCGAGCGUUGUCCGGAAUUACUGGGCGUAAAGAGCUCGUAGGUGGUUUGUCGCGUUG